GGGGGCGUAACGGUUUCGACGGGGAUUCGGAAAACAAAGCAAGCCAUCCGCGGCGUCAACCGCGUUAACAAGGCACAAAAAAAUUAAUUGGCAACAAUAGAACUUUCGCUCCUGUAGCUAUGGCUGCUUAAGUGGGACUUCCCCAAUAGCCAAAUUACAGACAUGAGCUGUCGGCCCCGGAACUCUGCCGCCCGGAACGCCGGCAUCGACUAGGCAGAAAACUCGCCUCAUGCCCGCUCCGCCACGAGGCGAAAAUCCAGGAGCUUGCCUCGCCGCAAUUUUUUGUCGGUUCAAUUGCAGCAAGGGAGAAAUAAAAACCGAAAGUGAUGGGAGAAAGCUUUGCGGAAGCAUCUUCGGACAGGAGUUCAACUCUCCUCGCCUCCAUAC
rnacentral:tmRNA from 1 species